rnacentral:rRNA from 1 species
GCAAGUCGAACGGUAGCAGCUCCUGCUUGCAGGAGGCUGACGAGUGGCGGACGGGUGAGUAACGCGUAGGAAUCUACCUUAGAGAUUGGGAUAACGUUAGGAAACUGAGGCUAAUACCGAGUGUAAUAUACGAAGUAAAGGUUGCCCUUUGGGCAGUCGCUUUAAGAUGAGCCUGCGUUGGAUUAGCUAGUAGGUGGGGUAAAGGCUGACCUAGGCGACGAUCCAUAGCUGGUCUGAGAGGAUGAUC